CUGAGCAGAGAGCCCAAUGCGGGACUUGAUCCCAGGACCCUGAGAUCAUGACCUGAGCCAAAGGCAGAGGCUUUAACCCACUGAGCCACCCAGGCACCCCAUUUUUUUUUUUUUUUUUUUUAAAGAAAAAACGGUGAAGUCUUGUGUGCCACUGUGUCACCUCCGCAUACUCUCUCCUCAUUUAGGCAGAGUGUGCACCUUUCAGGGCCUUCUAGACCAUGGCCUGCAUCCCGGGUCCAGAGGCCGGGGGCGUCUUCAGGCUGAUGGUAAAUUUGGAUACUGGCUCCUCUACCUUUGAGCUCUGUGUCUUUGGACCUUUUACUUUACCUUGAAGACGCAGUCUUCUCAUCUGCAAAGGGGAAAGAUCAGUAUCCAUCGAAGCUUCAAAAGAGAAAACACUUGGUGCUUUUCAAACCAGAGUAUCUCCAAGAAAGCUACCAGACAUUUUGAAGAGGCUGUUUUGCCAUUGACAUUCACACCUGUUUCCUCACCAUGGAAGACAAACUAUUCACCUUUCAGCUUUUAAAAAACUACCCAGCUGUAUACCCAGCAAACAUCCCUACCCCAUGUUUGACCCAGGCCUUAUUCAUCCCUGAGCCUUUUUCCCCCCUUGUUUUCCUU